rnacentral:rRNA from 1 species
UACGUAGGGGGCGAGCGUUGUCCGGAUUUAUUGGGCGUAAAGAGCGUGUAGGCGGCCAGGUAGGUCUGCUGUGAAAACUCGAGGCUCAACCUCGAGACGUCGGCGGAAACCAUCUGGCUAGAGUCCGGAAGAGGAGAGUGGAAUUCCUGGUGUAGCGGUGAAAUGCGCAGAUAUCAGGAAGAACACCCGUGGCGAAGGCGGCUUACUGGUCCGGUUCUGACGCUGAGGCGCGAAAGCGUGGGGAGCAAACGGG